GACGGAGGAUGCAAGCGUUAUCCGGAAUGAUUGGGCGUAAAGCGUCCGCAGGUGGCAGUUCAAGUCUGCUGUCAAAGACCGGGGCUUAACUUCGGAAAGGCAGUGGAAACUGAACAGCUAGAGUAUGGUAGGGGCAGAGGGAAUUCCUGGUGUAGCGGUGAAAUGCGUAGAGAUCAGGAAGAACAUCGGUGGCGAAGGCGGCCUGCUGGGCAGUGGCUGACGCUGAGGCGCGACAGCGUGGGGAGCAAACAGG
rnacentral:rRNA from 1 species